AGCAAUGUAGGAUCCAAGCUGCAUCUGCAACCUACACCACAGCUCACAGCAACACCAGAUCCUUGACCCACUGAGCAAGCCGGAUCCUUAACACCACUGAGCCACGAUGAGAACUCCAGAAGCUAAUGACUUUCUAAAAUAAUUUCAAGAUAUGAAAAUCCCACUUAUCCUUAAUCCCACUUGUCAUUUGCUUUGUACAAACAUCACAAUUCUCUUUUAACAAUUAUUCUGAGUCCUUGGAAAUUAAACUACUGUAUUAAUGCCUUCAAGGUAACAUAAUCAAGACACAGAGGCACACUAACAGACUAGCAGAGAGAAACCUAUUCGGUAUAGGAUUUCUUCAUGUUGUAUAACAUACCACAGAGACAAGAGUAUAAAUUAGUUCAGCUAUUUCAAGUACUUAAAACAUCUGUUCUCCCUCCAGUUAGACCUAUACAACCAGAUGGUAAAGAUCAGCCUUAGUUGUCUAAAACUCUUCAUAAUGGUGGCUUUCUUGUUUUACUCUUCUUAUAGGAGUUGUUUGCAAGCAACAGCUUAUACAAAUUGGUUGGUUCACGAAUGUGGUUGAAUGUAAUAAAUGGAAAUUGCUAUAGAUUGUUAACAUAGAAGUUUAUGACCAGAAUAUCAUGUAAUUUUUCACACAAUUAGUAACACUGGUGGUGCGGAAAUGCUCAGGCUCUAAACAACAAUUCACAGAUUACCAGUCAAUCAGCAUAAUUUUGCUUGUGUUAUAUUUCAUUUUUUGGAGUAAAUUCAUUUAUUGGUACCCAUUUUAUAUAGUUCAGUGAGGUAAUCUACAAGUAUAAAAUCAUUUUUCUUUUGGCUAUCACCAUGGUCCAUGUAAAUACCCAACAGUCAGAGAUGUCUACAGAAACAUGCCAGGUAACAUGGUUAGGUUUACAGACCUGAAUACACAUAUUUCAUUAAACACUGGCAUUUGUGUACUCAAGUGGUCCAGUGGCUUUGGAUUAUAUGACUACUGGGCACGUGGAAUAAAAAUAAUGUGGAAGUUUAAAUCCAUUGAAAGGGAAUCAGUCAUCAAUAAAAACACUUCAGUUUUUUAAAAUUAACUAUCAUGCGAAAGAUUUUCCAGAAUUAUACCACUCCACCAAACUGCUCUUGUUAGCGUCACUAAUAAUUUCCCAAAUGUGAAAUUCACUAGCCGAAUCUCAGUUGUCAUCUUACUUUAUCCUGCUCCUCCUCUGAUAUUUUUUCUCUUGUUUUCUAGUGGACUUCUCCCUCUUGCUUAUCCUUUCUCCUUAGGUACAUCUUCUCAGGUUCAUAGGCUGGCUUCUCUUCUUCCUCCUGACCUGUCAAUUUUGGAAGGUCCCAGGGAUCUAAUACCCAUGGAGAACCAGUCACUUCUUGUUACCCCUUCCAUCCCCACCCUGUCCAAAGCUAUCAUCCUUGAUCACCUGGUUAUCACACUAGCUUCCUACUUAGUCUCCCUGAUUCCAUUCUUCCCUUCUUACAGACUAUUCUCUAUGAAGAGGCCAGAGUGAUCCCUUUAUAACAUGAGUGCCUUUCUUGUCUCAUCUUCCAAUAGCCUCUCUCUUGGCUGCAGCUGUACCUCAAACAGGGAAGCCCUGGCUGCCUUGAGGGGCAUUGCUGGGGCAGUUCCUUCUGCCUAGAACAUAUGUUGCCAAGAGAACCAUAUGGAUAACUCCUUACCUCCUUCAAGUUCUUUGCUCAACAUUUAAAAUUCUAAGCUGCUCAGUCUCCAACACAUUCUCCAGAUUCUCUUUACCCCAUUAUAUUUUAAAAGUGCUCUGUUACUUUCUUACCUACAAUUAAAUUACUUCUUAUGUUUAUCUUCUACUGUUUGUUUUGUUCCAUGGGAAUGUAAGCUCUUUGGAGGAAGGGAUUUUUUUAUUGGUGUUGUUCAUUGAUGUGUCCCAAGCUCUCAGAACAGUACUUGGCUUAGAAGGUGCUUGUAUUAUAUCUGUUUGAGUGAAUGAUGGUACUGUUUCUAGAGUGAUGAGAAUGUUGGUCUUUCUAAGUCUAGAAAUGUAGCAGUCCUGUGGGAUGCCAAAAGCUGGAGAAAGGAUAACAGUUCCUUGGUUAAAGAUAUGAAAUAGGAGUUUAAAAUAUUUUUGCCUAAUACAAGGAAAGCACCUUUUAAGUAACAACUUCAAAGAGUGAUUGCUUUUUUCUCAGUAAAUCUAAUAAUGCUACGCUUUAUCAGGUUCAUAGAUGAGGGUAAGGGGUUCCAUUGAUAUGUCUAGAAAUCAAAUAUUGUGUGUGUGUGCGUGUGUGUGUGUGUGUGUGUGUUGGAAGGGAAGAGGGGAUGUCUUUUUCUAAGGUUGAGCUACAUGACGUAGGAUAUGACAUAUUCAGUGACAGUGGGUAGAGAGAAUAUAAUUAUACCAACACACCAAAUCUCAUAAUACUGAAGGAGUAGAGAAAACCUAAUAAACUUCUGAAAGAUGAGUUUCCUAUGGUUGAAAGAUUUUUUUCCUUCACAGUUUUUAAAGAGUGUGAAAAAUAAUUUGAUAAAAUUUAACUGUGAUUUGCAUGAGUGCUCGUAGAAGUUAUCCUCAAAGAUAAAUAUUCAAAGAUAGGUUUUGAUAUUUCAGAUAGUCAAUAGACUAAAUCUAUAUUCUAUAGAAAUAAUUAUGGAAUUACUUUCAUGGUCUUCUCUAUUAUUUUUACUGAGUAUUGUAGCUUGGUACAUUUAUAGCUUGGUACAUUUAACACUUGGCUGUGCUUAUAUUUAAGAAGAAUGUCCUUACAUAUAAAUCAGAAAGGAGGGAAGUUAGGAAUUUACUAUUAAAACUGACUAGUAUUUUAAGUGACCAUGGAUAAUGACUUAAUGCACUAAGCAAUUUCAUAUUUACUGAAUGAAAGUUUAUCACGUUUUGCAGAAUCCUAUACUGUUAUCAAUAAUCUAAGUCAACUUGAGCAACCACUUAAGGUUAGAUCUUCAACAUCUAUAAAAUACUCUAUGCCACAGCACUUUCAUAUUCCUAUGGAGCAAAUUUCUGUUUUCUACUGCAAGUCGGCUCAUUGAAAUGGCAUAUGCUCAAGGGUAGCACAGCUUAGGGGACUUCAACAGAUGUUUUGAUUCUACUUUUCAACAUUUCUCUAUUGCGCAUCCAUGCCCAGAUUUCCCAGCUCUCAAGUUCGACUUUUAAAUCAGGAACAACUAUCUACGUACUUUGUUUACUACUCAUUGACUUGGAAGUGACUCAUUGCUUAUCACCCUCUUUCACUCCUUUUUGUUACUGCUUAUGGCUCAGCCAAACAUCAGGGAGGAAAAUUAUGAAUAAUUACCAAAAAGUAUCUGUACAGAUAUCCACUUCAUGAUUUCAAACAGAAUUUGCUAGACCAAUACUAAUCCCUGGAAAAGAAAUGUCAUGAAAGUGCUUAGCUGCCUUUUGCAAAUCUAAGUUCAUGAACAGUUGCAGAAAAGUAAAAAUGUGUAGUGCAUUAAAAACCAUGUUUCACUUUUUUCGUUGCAUGCAGAUAUUUUUGUUGGAAAACACUAAAAUUCUUAAAGUAAGCUAGCCUCACUGCAGAUUUCAAAAAUGUGAAUGAAGGUAUAAGGAGCAGAAGAAAAAAUUGUUAUCAAGCCUACUCUAAAUAAUGCUAUUAAAGCAGAAAAUAUUUUAAAUAAUUGCCAUUUCAGAUACAUAAUAAAAAUUGACAGCUAUCACUCCAACCACAGAUUUGAUUCACACACACACAUAUUUGUGUUGGUCUAUGGAGGAAAUGUAUAUUUUAUGUUGAAAUUAUGUAUUUCUUUGAAAUGUGGUUCAAAGUGAGGAAGAAAACUUUAAACAUUUUCUUUCACGCUUUACAUGCCUCAAAACAAACACCUGAACGUAUAUUAAAAUACUUGAAUUCAGAGCUGCAAUCAGUAAGGCCUUUAUUCAUUGAGAAAUUUUGUUUCAAUAUCCUUCUUGUUAGAUCUUUCCUUGGAUGUUUAUCUUGAAAAUCCUACUCAAAGCUCAAAUAAGUUUUUCUCAAAGUCACAUUCAUCUUUCAUAGAUCAUUUUGGAAAUCAUACUCUUUCAAUAUUUAAAUAGUAGCAAAUACAACACUAUCUCUGUAAUCCAUGGAAAAUCUAUAUAUACUGGUGCAGUUAGCUAUCAUUCUAAAGAUAUUUUCCUCAGGAGACAGAGUCCAUCACAUAAAUUCACUUGUAUUUGGAGGGUGGAUGUUUACAGUAAUGCCGACGUAUCUGUUUUUGCCCAUAUUUCUUUAUUCUUCAUCCUCAAUUGUUUACAAAAGGGGCUGUCACUCUUGGCACAGAAAAUGCUUCUUCUGGAUUUUUGCAUUCUUAAAUGGCUGGUGAGGCCGUUUUUGAAAGAAGAAUGAUUUUAUGACUUAAAGAAACAUCUGCAUAUGCAAAAAUUUAGAGUUUAUUUUCAAUCUGAUAUCUUCAUCCUUUCCUUUACAAUUUUUUAUUAAAGUAUAGUUGAUUUACAAUGUUUGCAUCAGUUUCUGCUGUACAGCAUAGUAACCCAGUCAUAUACAUAUAUACAUUCUUUUUCUUGUAUUAUCUUCCAUCACACUUUCCUUUUUCCUAUUUUAUUAUAGAUGAUGGUUGUUUCCAAAAUACUCAUUUCUUUAUACUUUGAUAUGUUUGGUGAGAACGUUCAUGUAGGAUGGUCAUGAAUUGUUUUCUCGUAUUUUCUUUAGUAACUUCCAUUGAGUAUCUUCCUUUCCUCUGCUCUCUUGGGAUAGUUUGGGGAUAUAAAAAUCAGAUAUAUAUGCUGACAAAUGUAUACUAUGAAUAGUGAAGUCGGUGUUAAAAUGCAGCUUGUACAUAUAAGACCCCUAAAUUUGUUAUUUUUUUCAAAUGUUUUACUUAGUAUGGGAUCAGUUUCAGUCAUUUUACUAGUCACUUGCUAAAAUGCAAACUUUAACAAAAAUUUCAUAAAAACAAGAUUAUAAAAUUAUAAAAAUGAGAGUUGAUGGCAAUUUAUUUUAUAAUGAAUAACUAUAUAUUCACUAAGUUUAAUCUGACUAAAGGUCACAAAUUCAUUUUUAUGAAAAUUCUUCAAAUGAAUCCAGAAAUACUCCAGCUAAUAAAAUGACAUUUAAUAAUGUGGCUUAGCAUCUAUAAUGGCCAUAGAAUCAUGACGAUAUUUCUGAGAUGGAUUCAUGGAAGCCCACCUACAACUAUGUAGGUCUCCCAGUUGGUCCUAUUUUCAAUGGAGAAUAUUUACCAUUUCUGGAAUUCUAAUGAUCAGAAUUGUAAUCCUUUGGGUCUUUAAUGAGAGAAAGAAUACCACCCCAAAUGCAAUGGCCAGUCAACAUGAAUUUAUAUGGUCAAUAAAAGAAAAGAAUGUUUUCAUUUUCAGAUCCUGGACUUGGUUAUUUUGGGUUUAAAUGUGACAGAUUUGCUGAACAAAGAUCACAAAUCCCCUCUUCUUUUUCAACCACUCAAAACACCACACACACCUUCACAGCCCAACCCUUUUUACUGUUCAUCCACAACAGCUCUAGGUCAAGGUUUUCAGAAGCAAAUUGACUCUGCUGGGUACUCCUUUAUC
rnacentral:lncRNA from 1 species